rnacentral:lncRNA from 1 species
UAUAUUUAUUAUUAUUAUUUUUUUUACAGGAAAUAUUAUUCAUUUUAGUUACCAGAAAGUGAUUGAAGGAUAUAUGCCCCUGCCGCCAAGUGCUCUUCCAUCUAAUAUCACAAGGUAUUUAUUCCAUGGGAUUGAGACGAAGGAAAAUUUGCAAUUGAGGAAGUAUUUUGAAGUUGAAAAAUCAGGUAUUUUGGAGAUGAAUAUAUCAAAAUGUCCUAAGAAAAUGGUAUUGAAAUGUAUCAAGAGAAUAGUGUAAGAAAGAGGAAGGGGGAAAAAUAACGAAGAGAUAGAGAAACAGCUAGAUUAUUCAACAUGGAAAUUACGGUAAGGUAAGGAAAAGACAUUUGCCACCUGAACUUCCCAAUCUAAUUCUCCCGUUUUUAAGGUGUCUCCUUGCCAAUGAUUUUCAAUCCCCACAAUGUCCUCAACUUUGAUGCUUCCAGUACUAUAAUUCAACUGGCUGUUGAUGUUGGCUAACAUCAUCAAAAAUAUAGUUAUGGACAGCAUUAUUAGGCUCAGCAUUGUACCCUCUAAUACAGGGACAAAAAGGUCAUUUUCUAAUCCCAUAACAUAUGGUUCCAUGACUCCAUAAUCCUGCCCAAAGCCCCUAUUUGCCAUAUCAAAUUUUUGUAAGCAUGUCGAGAAAUCGAAUGAGCCAGCUAUUAUACCAUUUACACCAUUGAAUUCGUUGCCCAUUGCAGAAAAAGGGUUGAACUGGCUAUUCAUAAUCAUGCUUGCAUGGAGGAAGAUGAGGACGAUGUUGAAUCCAAGUACAUUGUCGCGAUGUCAUAUUCGUUCAUGGGUAUUAGUCCUUGCAUGACAGCACCCCUAGGCUCUGAUAUUGAGUCUUGGGAGGAUGUUGAAUUAUUGUUAUUAUUUUUCAACCUCUUCUUUACUGUGGAAUUCCAAAAAUUCUUUAUUCAAUAUAUUUCCUUUUAUCUCUUUGUUCAAACCACUCUAAAUCUUUGUGUUUGUUUUGGUUUUUUAGUUUUACUUAUUAUGCUCCUGAUAAGAAGAAUUUAUGUCUUCAAACGUAAGACUAAAACAAGUUUGAUUGAUGCGAACCUCGUAGCAACGUUGAUUACGAAAUCCACAACGAGAUUGACGAACCCAAGAAAGUCAAAUUAAUCCAAGAGUUUAGGAUUAACCCAAAAGAAAGUCGAACCAAAAAAUCCAACAAGAACGACGCUUGAAAGAUCCCUUGAUCACGUAAUCCAAGAAUUAAAUCCGGUUGUUUGAACGCAACAAGUUAACACUUGAUAAGUUCGAAAUUGUUCAAUAAAGAAUAAUGAAGAGAAGACAGU